CUAUCGGUUUUGGAUGGGUCCGCGUCCUAUUAGCUUGUUGGUGAGGUAAUGGCUCACCAAGGCAAAGAUGGGUACCCGGGCUGAGAGGCUGGUCGGGCAUAUUGGAACUGAGAUACUGUCCAAACUCCUACGGGAGGCAGCAGUCGAGAAUCUUUCGCAAUGGGGGAAACCCUGACGACGCGACGCCGCGUGAGCGAUGAAGGCCUUCGGGUUGUAAAGCUCUGUCACUGGGGAAGAAAAGUAUAGAUGUUAACACCAUUUAUAUAAGACAUUACCCGGAAAGGAAGUCCCGGCUAACUCCGUGCCAGCAGCCGCGGUAAUACGGAGGGGACAAGCGUUGUUCGGAUUUACUGGGCGUAAAGGAUGUGUAGGCGGAUAGAUAAGUGAAACGUGAAAGCCUAAGGCUCAACUUUAGAACUGCGCUUCAAACUAUUUAUCUAGAGUAUAGAAGAGGUAAGCGGAAUUCUCAGUGUAGCGGUGAAAUGUGUAGAUAUUGAGAGGAACACCAUAGGUGAAGGCGGCUUACUAGUCUAAUACUGACGCUGAGGCAUGAAGGCGAGGGUAGCAAACAGGAUUAGAUACCCUGGUAGUCCUUGCAGUAAACGAUGUCAACUUGGUGUGGGAAGGGCGACCUUUCCUGUGCCGGAGCUAACGUGUUAAGUUGACCGCCUGGGGAGUACGGCCGCAAGGCUAAAACUCAAAGAAAUUGACGGGGGCCCGCACAAGCGGUGGAGCAUGUGGUUUAAUUCGAAGCAACGCGAAGAACCUUACCUGGACUUGACAUGUAUUUGACCGGCUAAGAGAUUAGCCUUUCCUUCGGGACAGAUACACAGGUGUUGCAUGGCUGUCGUCAGCUCGUGUUGUGAGAUGUUGGGUUAAGUCCCGCAACGAGCGCAACCCUCAUUUCCAGUUACCAGCGGGUAAUGCCGGGGACUUUGGAGAAACUGCCGGUGAUAAACCGGAGGAAGGUGGGGAUGACGUCAAGUCAUUAUGGCCCUUACGUCCAGGGCUACACACGUGCUACAAUGGCCGGUACAGAGGGAAGCAAGACCGCGAGGUGGAGCUAAUCCUUGAAAACCGGUCUCAGUUCGGAUUGGAGUCUGCAACUCGACUCCAUGAAGUUGGAAUCGCUAGUAACGGCAGAUCAGCUACGCUGCCGUGAAUACGUUCCCGGGCCUUGUACACACCGCCCGUCACAUCAUGAAAGUUGAUCUUACCCGAAGUCACCAUACCAACUUCUUUGGAAGAGGAAAGUGCCGAAGGUGAGAUUGAUAAUUGGGAUGAA
rnacentral:rRNA from 1 species